ensembl:lncRNA
CCCGCACGGGCACGGGGGGGAGCAGGUUCGCGUCAUGUAGGUACGCGUGAGUGCACUGAGCCCGCUCCUCUGUCGUCUUCGGUUAGUACAAAGAGAGCCACCGGUACACGUAAUGCCUGAAAGGCACCUGAGUCCCCACGGGGCUGACAAGCCUGUGCGCUAAGUUUGCUGUUCUAAAUCUUGCUAUUACAAAGAUUUCAGCAGUAGUGAAUAAGCCUGACAAGACCAUUUCGCAAUCUCCUUCUCAGGCAGAGGCGGAUGGGAAAGGGAACAUGUGCAUUCUGCACGUGGGCAUCCUUGGACCGACAUCAGCCAAAGCCCCGUCCUGAGAGACCAGGGCAUGGUUCCCCACCUCGGUGCUUUGCCUCAGCCAAACGCCUGACUGCUCGGUCAGGCAGGUGGAGACACCAAAAGGAUGCGAAAAGCUGCCCUGAGCUCCCAGGGAGAGAAGAAAAGCAAUGAGACCUAUCUCAGAUUACUAAAAUGGAGAGACGUGGGCACUGUUUAAUGGCUACCUCAUGCAGCACGCUGAAGUUUGAAAGCAGCGAGGUAGACUCACUUUUCCUCAGGUGGCUGUAAUCACAGGAUGAUGGACCUUAAUGAUGGAGAACACUUGUGACCUGGCCAGUGAAGGCAUUUUCCCUCUGCAGGAGACUGAACAGAAGAAGGAACCUACAGAAGCCGCUGGAGUCCCCUUUCAGCACUUUUGGAGUACAAUCUUUGCCAAUAGGGACAAACUUGUUGUUGCCUGUGGCUGGAACUGGUGACAAGAAGUCUGCAUACCAGUGCACAUAGAGUGAGGCACACCAGUUGAACUGAAAGGAGAUCAAGCUCAGAUACGCCCUGACAUCCUCUUGCAUGGCUGAAAUGAGGUGAUAUGAAGAAGAAGCACUGACGGUCUUGGCCCCUCAGCUCAGGUUUAUGAGCCUCUGGGGCAGCUUGACAGAGACAGGCACUGGCACUGCAAGGAGAAAGUCAUAUUUUCCAGGGAAAAAAAGUCAUUAAAGAACAAAGUGCCGUAAGGAGAGCCAGAUUCCUGGGGAACUACGGCAAUGUGGAGACAAAGCAUUUAUAAGCAAAACUGAAAUGGAGUUCAUCUGCAGCCGGACUGAAAGUGAUGCAGUGAAUGAACCGACAAUAUCCACCUGCUCCAGAUGUGGAGAGGCAGUGGAUGACCAAUGCUGGGCUGCCCAGUUGCCUUCUGAGGUAGCUGGCACAACCGGGAUGGCUCAUACCCAGACUGCGUCCUGUCAACAGAAAGGCAAAUGGGGAACAAAUAGAUUCAUAGUUUUUGCCCAUUGGUUGCCGAUUACCUGUGUUUGAAAUGCUGCUCUUACUACUCACCUCCCCAACCACUCGCAGUGCCUCAGGAUUCCUUUCUUGAUAUUGCUGAAGCCUCUCAAGUGGAAGAUUCAGGGGAAGAAGUGUGCUGAGCUUGAUGAACUUUUUGAUCAGGCCAAUACUGGAAAAUGGAGCUGGGACACAGUGGCACCGAUACAUCUGCUUCUUGUGACCAUCAUUUUAUCUUGAGAAAGAUUUAAGGGAAAGAGAUGUAUGCAAUGCUGCCUGAAGACAUCCAGUGCUGGACAGCAGAGAAUUCCGUCAGAAGAAAAUAAAAAUAUAAAAUGAGAGAAAUAAAGAAUGAGAAAGAAAUGAACCUGUGGAAGAUUGAGUUCUGAAGGCUGGAAAGACCCGCUUGUAUCAUCCUGCCUGACACCCUUUCCAACAGCAGGCAAGGAGCCACGUUCAGCAACCUCCUGCCUGAUUCAGAGAUGUGUAGAUGAGCAGAAGUGUAUGAUUUUAAAAUUCCUUAUCAUCCAGAGUAUAAAGAUGAACAGGAAGGACCUCUCCUACGAAGAAAGGUUGGGGAAGUUGGGCUUGUUCAGCCCAGAGAAGAGAAGGCUCUGAGGAGAUCUCAUUGCGGCCUUCCUGUACUUGAUGGGAUCUUAAAAGCAGGAGGGGGACCAACUUUUUGCACUCUCUGAUAGUGACAGGACAAAGAAGAAUGACUUCAAACUAGAAGAGGGGAAAUUUGGGUUAGAUGUUAGGUAGAAGUUCUUUACUCAGAGAGUGGUAAGCCACUGGCACAGGAUGUCCCCCUGGAAGCAUUCAAGACUAGGCUGGAUGGGAUCCUGGGUAGGCUGAUGUGGGUGGCAACCCUGCCCAUGGAAAGGGG